rnacentral:lncRNA from 1 species
UUAAUAAACCAUAAUAAAAUAAACAAAUAAAAUAAAUGAGUAAGUAUAUUCCACAUUUUUCUGGGGACCAGCGAAAUUUUCUCGCGGACCACCACUGAUCUAAACAGUAUCUGAACUUUAAUGCUGCUAUAAGUUUUCCCAUAAUUGCAACAAAUAUAUAAAUUUAUUGUUUUACUAAGAAGUUAAAAAUAAAACAAUUCAUAAAUAUUUUGACGUAUUAAAAAAUAAACAUCUUUUAUUUAUGUAUUUAGUUGUUUUGAAUAUUGUAAAUUUAUUAUGCUUUCCAUUUAUUAUUAUUUUUCGUAUUUUAAUAAUUAGAUGGCAUUUUUCAAUAUUACAUUUUAGAAUUUUGAAAUAUUUAAACCAAUCAAUAAAAAAUGCUUUUGAUAAUUUAUUAUUAUUUAACAAAAAUUAUCAGAAAAAAUUUUACUGUAAUGGAAACUCAUCAUUGUUUAUAAACAUUGAUAAGGAAAAGAAAGUUGAUGAGAACAAAUGGGAAAUAUGAAGAUUUAAAAUGAAUAAUUGGUAAUAACACUGGAUGCACUGAAUGAUGAACAUUUUCCAGUGAGCUGUGGCAUCACAAACAUAAGGAGACAAUAUAGAAUAUCCUUUAGUCUGUCCAAUAAACAAGAUUAUUGAGCAUAGACUGUAAACAUCAAUGAUAGCGGAAGUUAUCUUAGAUCUUUCACUUUUCUAAUCUAUUUUUCUUCGUAUUGGUCAGAAAUGUAAGAUUUUACUGUGUUUAUGAAUCAUUUCAUAUAAUAAUAGUAAAAUUUGUAUAUACAAUGAAUGUCAUUAUAACAAAAGCCCCCAGUAUAAUGAAAUUUUCAGUAUUAGCAAACUUUUUUUUAAUUCCUG